rnacentral:misc_RNA from 1 species
AAAGGCUGUGUAUCAUAUGCCAACCACAGAGAAUGACAUGCCAUCAGGGAGCAUUCCAUUGGCUCUGCAAAGUUUAUUUUAUAAGCUCCAAUAUAGUGAUACCAGUGUGGCGACUAAAGAAUUGACAAAAUCUUUCGGAUGGGACACUUAUGAUUCAUUCAUGCAGCAUGACGUGCAGGAACUAAACAGAGUGUUGUGUGAAAAGCUUGAAGACAAGAUGAAGGGUACGGUUGUGGAAGGGACAAUUCAGAAGUUAUU